UACGUAGAGGGCGAGCGUUGUCCGGAAUCAUUGGGCGUAAAGCGCGUGUAGGCGGCUCGGUAAGUCUGCUGUGAAAGUCCAGGGCUCAACCCUGGAAUGCCGGUGGAUACUGUCGAGCUUGAGUCCGGAAGAGGCGAGUGGAAUUCCUGGUGUAGCGGUGAAAUGCGCAGAUAUCAGGAGGAACACCAAUGGCGAAGGCAGCUCGCUGGGACGUGACUGACGCUGAGACGCGAAAGCGUGGGGAGCAAACAGG
rnacentral:rRNA from 1 species